AUGCAUAGUUUCCCAUAGAUUGAAGGUUUGAUGAGCUAUUAAGCCAAUAAGUGCUUUCAAUCAGGAGAUAUUCCGUGUUUUAGUCACGCUCUCUCUUCCACAAUUAUUAUUCAUCUAGAUAAAUUCAGAAGUCUGCCUCCCUUCUAUAAUAUGAAAGCAUGCUGUUGUUACCCUUCUCUGUCUGCAAGGAACAUUGAGAUAU
rnacentral:misc_RNA from 1 species